rnacentral:rRNA from 1 species
CCCUUAGAUGUUCUGGGCCGCACGCGCGCUACACUGAUGCAUUCAACGAGUCUAAAACCUGGUCUGAUAGGGCUGGGUAAUCUUUUGAAUGUGCAUCGUGAUUGGGAUAGAUGAUUGCAAUUCUUCAUCUUCAACGAGGAAUGCCUAGUAAACGCAAGUCAUCAGCUUGCAUUGAUUACGUCCCUGCCCUUUGUACACACCGCCCGUCGCUCCUACCGAUUGAAUGUUCCGAUGAAUACCAUGGACUGAGAGUAUGAAUGGGUUCGCCUACUUCUGCUUCUCGGGAAGUGGAGUAAAUCUUAACAUUUAGAGGAAGGAGAAGUCGUAACA